GUUUUUCUAAUCACUUCAUUUUGCUUUGUUUCAGAACUCCUACAAUUACCAGGAGUCAUUCCAAGAAGGCAAUUUUUGCCAAGCAGUUAAAUGCAGGACUCAGGGAAGAUCUCUGUAUACAAUCUGUCUGAUCUACCUCGUCACCUGAGAGGAUAAACAGGAUUUACCUUGGUCUGUAGGCAUUAACUCUGUGAGCUUUAAAAUCCAACCUGUUCUCAGAGUGAUUGCCUGCCCAACUGCAGUGCAUUACACUGAGUUCCUCUGAAAUGCUGAGACUCCUCAUCCCCCUGAGAGAUGUGCAAAUAGGACUUUUUCAGGCUUCUGUAAAAGCAGUUGACAACCUGCCUAUAAAGUGCUGUACCUGGAGGAAUAUUGCUUGCCUGAUUCCUACAGAGAUUACAUGCCUACAUGGAUGAAAAUGAAGUCUUUAUUCUCUGCAGCAAGGAAGACGCAGAUGUUCAGGAGUGAGCAGCAGGUCCUUCAGAGCAGAGGCAAGGCCAGGCUCCAGGACCUGACCCAAACCUCCCAAGCCCCUGAUGAGCAGUGCAUACACCUGCCUCUGCUCCUUAAACCUUUCUUCUCUUGCCCAGCCCAGAGCUCUGUUUCCUUUGUUCCAUUCUCUGCUGAAUGGCAAAAGGAAAAGGGUUUUUAAAGCUCUGUCAGAGUCCUCCAUCAGCCCUGGAUAGCUGGCACUGCACUUCCAGGGACACGAGGCAGAGGAGAGGCAGCUGUACCCCUGCCUGAGCUUUCUGCUCCACUUCUGCUAUUUUAAUACCACAACUCAUAUCACACUCUGGCAGGGUGACCCAGCUGGGAGAUUUCAAGUGACUUACAAGGAAAAGAUCAUCUUUAUUUUGUGUAGCUUCUUUCUGAACUACACUGAUUAUGAGCCUUCUGGAAAAAGAGCUGAUGGCAGUUUUUGCAAUUUAGAAACUAACUAAAAUAAUAAUAAGGCUAAAAAUAAUCUCUUCACUUUUUUGAGAGAGUAGGAAUACAUGACCUAGACUGAGGCUGAGGGAAGAGGGCUGGUUUAGCCAGGAAAAGAGAAGGCUUUGGGAACACUGGAGAGCCAUCUGCCAUCCCCUUGGGGAGGUCAGAGUGGAGCCUGAGCCAGGCUCUGUACAGAGCUGCCCCAUGAGACAAUGGCUACAACACAAAUCAGGGGAGAUUCCAGCAGGACACAAUAACAGUGCCCUCUGUGAGGGUAAGAAAGCACUUGGGCAGGAUGGCAAGGCUGUGGAAUCCCUGUCCCUGAAGGUAUUGUCAGCCUGACAGAGCCCCAGACAACCCAGUCUGAAUUCAGCACUGACUUUGCUUUGAGCAGAACAUGGGACUUGACACCUCAUGGACUUUCCAGCCUGGGGGAAUCCAUGGUCCUGUGAGUUCUGGUAUAAUAGGAAACAACAUCUCCAUACCUCAGAAAAACAAAACAUGAAGAAUUUUUGGUUUGCUUCUUAACCUAUCAAAAAUAGGUUAAGAAUAGAAAUAGUCACUUCACCCUGAUCAAGAAGCAGCUGACAUGACACAAAUAGUUUGAAAAUUUCUACUUUUUGAAUAUGAUAUUUUGAAAUGUCCUGAAUUCUGAAGGAGGCAAGGCUUAAGACCAGAUUUGGAUGGAGUAACUUGCCUGACUGUUAUCAGAACCUACCCCU
rnacentral:lncRNA from 1 species